GGCACUGAACUGCUACAGGUCCUGGUGGAUUGGUGCCUUCUGAAUAUAGUUCCAGUUCAAAUCUGUGAAAAUGCUUAACCUAGAGUAUACCUCAUGGACAAUGUUUAUGGACAUCAAAUCCUGCAUGAAGGAGAGGACAUUUUUAAUUCUCUAAGGAGUGUGACCCCAGAAUCUAACCAUGUCAGAGAAGAAGGAUAUCCUAGGCAACACCUCACAGUUAACCCGGAAUUCUUAAGUGUAUAAGUUCCCAAGUUUGAGACCCUGAGAUUCUGACCUACUAAAGAUAGAAGGGCAUUUCCUGAUCCAGAAAGCUCAUUGGAGAAAGAUGAAGAUGGUCUGCAUAAAUAGUUACUGUGCAGUGUCCUAUAUGGAGAGAAAAUAUACCUCUUACCCUUUAGGUAGAUCAACUGGCUCCACCUGGCUACUUCUCAUCUAUAUACAAGUAGGUCCCAUGGCCCAAUCCCACAGCUCCCAGAGCAGGGUGAGUUGCUACUUUAACCAUCCUUGCGGUAGCUCUGCCUAAACUGUAGACUCUCAGAACUUGAGGUCACUCCAGGGUCACUCAUUUUGAGGAGGAAUAAACUGAGGCUCAAGGCACCAAUAUGGAGGCUGGUCAAAGCACGAGUCCCUGGUCAUAGCCCCAUGGGGGCCUGGAGCAAUGGAGGGUGAGUUAACUGACUGGAUGCUAUCUAUCUCUGGGGAUCCCUAGGGUCCAAGCCCCAUAACCAGGCCAUUAUGUUCCUCUUAUCUUUGAAGCUUACAUCAAUUUCAACCUUGAUCUCUGCCACAGGACCACAGAAUGCCAGGCUUGCCGGACCUCCCAGAGGCCACCCAGCCUCCCCUUCACAUCUCCCUCCAGAGUCAACUGAGCCCCUUCUUUACUUCUGUAAGGCUAGAGAGCAGGCCCUCCAUGUGUAGAGAGAGCCCAAAGAGAGGCAGAAUCAACAUCUAUAGCUUCUUCUCCACUUACUCUCCCUUUUCCAAAGGACACUUUAAUUCCUGCCACAAGAUGAACCACGAGGUUGGGGCUGGAGGCUACCACUCUGCUCUCCUCAGAGAGAAGGGACACUGGGCUAUAACUCUGUGCUUCCUUGAAUAUUGAUUGUCUAGGGGAUAGAAUCAGGCUGCAUCUAACUUUUGAUCACUCUGUGAUUUGGGGGGGAAGGAAACCCCAACUUCUAUAUCCAAGGCUUGACCCCUUCCCCAUCUAAUUAAUACCAGUUCCACAACACACACACAUAGCAAAUAAACAAAUUGUAGCAAAACAGAAAUCAUAGGAGGUCUCCACAGCAGAAUAUGGACCAGACAAUCCAGAGUGAUGGUGCUUGGAAUCAGCUUCUACUGGCUCAUAAAAGACAAUUGUUUUUCUGUGCGAGCAUUUUUGUCUCUGAAAUCAGCAAAUGUCCCAAAGCAGGGCUUCAUUCACUAUCUUGUUGAUUUUUAGAUAAAAACAAGAUGGAGAACAUUUUAAUAAUGCAAAUUAACCUAAAAGUGUGUCCUGCAUACAUUUUUUUCAGACAGCCAGUUGUUAAAGAUUUACCAGCAUCUCCCCUCAUGUCAAGGCAGAACAACAAAGCAGACUCUCUGAUAAGCCCUCUAAGAAAGUGCCCUUUCAUUCUUCUAUUUCCUGGAAUGAAAUUCCUCAUUCUUGUAUCUUAUUCCCAGAACCAGGAGGACCCAGUGCUCACCACAGCCCCAGACUUCCUUUAUGAAUGCAGUCCAAGAGAAAGCUGGGAACUUGGUCACCUGGGUCCUGAGGAGUCCUUCCUUUCCCAAGAAACCUUCCCAGAAGCUGUCAGCCAGAGCAACUUCUGGAUAAAGAAAGGAUGUCUCACACUGGAAGUUCUGUGAGCAAGCCAAGGGAACGGCCAUCUCAGGGGCCAAACCUGGAGAAUACCUUUCCCCACCCGCCACUGCCAGUGCCCUAACCCUCAUCACUGUCUGCAAGGUGUUUCUUUAGUGUGGGAAAUGACUUCUUGCCAUUUAUUGAAUAAUUUAUUAAUUCUUAUAGAGGGAAACCGAAUUGUGAGGUGUGGCAAUGUGACAAUUUGUGGGGGAGGGAGUUGGGGGCUCCCCAUUAUCUCUUUACUUUGCCCUUGACAAUUUGGGGGUGGGGCUAAGAGUGUGCAGUACCUGUGUAGCUAAGGCUGAAGGUGACCAAGGCUGCUAUCUCUGUGAGUCGAGCAGUCAAAAUUGGCUAAGACUGACUUUGAGGAAGCAAUCCAGACCAACCUGAACUCAUCCAUUCAGGAGUUCGAGGAGCCCCAGGGCCACUGAGAAUCUGAUGCUGCAAGGGGUCCCCAAGCCCAGCCCCCUCCCAGCACCUUCCAAGAGGGCCAAGAAGGAAAAGUCCAGCUCUGGUGUCAGGCCAGGCCAACGAUUUCCUUUCUCUUCCUUUGUUUCCCUUUUGGGGAAUGUUUCAUCUCAUCCUUCUGAAUUAAGUUCAGACCUCUGUCAGCAGGAGUGUUGAACUUGCUUAGAAAUGCAUCUUGUGAAGAUGCAUGUCAUCUCUCAGACAUUCCUGUCACAGAUACCCUGGAGAGGGUGACGAUCUGGCUGGUAGAUGUCUUUGGUGCCAUCAGGGAGAUCACUCCAAUCUCAGCACCUGCUCUCUUUCAACACAGCUCCUCUCUGUGGGCUCAAAGACUGCAGGACUGAGCCCACAUAGGGACCAACUCAGGUCCACAAACAUUUAUUAUAUUAAGCAUUUACUAUGUAUGAAUGUAGAUUUUCUUAUGCUCAAUAAUGUCCCAUUGCAAUCACAUCCCAAAGUGUGUUUAGCCAUUC